rnacentral:rRNA from 1 species
UGAGGGAAAGGCGAAAAGAACCCCGGCGAGGGGAGUGAAAAAGAACCUGAAACCGUGUACGUACAAGCAGUGGGAGCCCCACCACCAAAGCAUUCUCUGGUGUUGAAGGCCCUGCAAAGCAGCAUCGCGGUGGCGGAGCGUCGUUUGCGACGCCCAACACACAAAACAAGCGGUGAGUGCUUUGGGGUGGGGUGACUGCGUACCUUUUGUAUAAUGGGUCAGCGACUUAUAUUCUGUAGCAAGGUUAACCGUAUAGGGGAGCCGGAGGGAAACCGAGUCUUAACCGGGCGUUAAGUUGCAGGGUAUAGACCCGAAACCCGGUGAUCUAGCCAUGGGCAGGUUGAAGGUUGGGUAACACUAAC